AACGCGAAGAACCUUACCUGGGCUAGAAUGCAGAUAGACUGCCGGUGAAAGCUGGUUUUGUAGCAAUACACUGUCUGUAAGGUGCUGCAUGGCUGUCGUCAGCUCGUGCCGUGAGGUGUUGGGUUAAGUCCCGCAACGAGCGCAACCCCCAUCACUAGUUGCCAUCAGGUAAAGCUGGGAACUCUAGUGAAACUGCCGUCGUAAGACGCGAGGAAGGAGGGGAUGAUGUCAAGUCAUCAUGGCCUUUAUGCCCAGGGCUACACACGUGCUACAAUGGGAGAGACAAAGGGCAGCAACAUAGCGAUAUGAAGCUAAUCCCAAAAAACUCUUUCUCAGUUCAGAUUGCAGUCUGCAACUCGACUGCAUGAAGCUGGAAUCGCUAGUAAUCGUAUAUCAGCAAUGAUACGGUGAAUACGUUCCCGGGCCUUGUA
rnacentral:rRNA from 1 species